UCUUCGGAUGGACUUAAAGCGAGUUAGUGGCGGACGGGUGAGUAACGCGUGGGUAACCUGCCCUUUUCAUGGGGACAACAGCUGGAAACGACUGCUAAUACCGAGUAAGCUCGGGAGGACGCAUGUUUUUCCGAGGAAAGAUGGCCUAGUCAAUGCUAUCGGGAAAGGAUGGACCCGCGUCUGAUUAGAUAGUUGGUGAGGUAACGGCUCACCAAGUCGACGAUCAGUAGCCGGCCUGAGAGGGUGGCCGGCCACAUUGGGACUGAGACACGGCCCAGACUCC
rnacentral:rRNA from 1 species